GGAGCUUGCUUCGGAUGAACUUAGCGGCGGACGGGUGAGUAACACGUAGGCAACCUGCCCGUAAGACUGGGAUAACUACCGGAAACGGUAGCUAAUACCGGAUACGCAAGUUUCUCGCAUGAGGGGCUUGGGAAAGGCGGAGCAAUCUGUCACUUACGGAUGGGCCUGCGGCGCAUUAGCUAGUAGGUAGGGUAACGGCCUACCUAGGCGACGAUGCGUAGCCGACCUGAGAGGGUGAACGGCCACACUGGGACUGAGACACGGCCCAGACUCCUACGGGAGGCAGCAGUAGGGAAUCUUCCGCAAUGGACGAAAGUCUGACGGAGCAACGCCGCGUGAGUGAUGAAGGUUUUCGGAUCGUAAAGCUCUGUUGCCAGGGAAGAACGUCUUAGAGAGUAACUGCUCUAAGAGUGACGGUACCUGAGAAGAAAGCCCCGGCUAACUACGUGCCAGCAGCCGCGGUAAUACGUAGGGGGCGAGCGUUGUCCGGAAUUAUUGGGCGUAAAGCGCGCGCAGGCGGCUGUUUAAGUCUGGUGUUUAAUCCUGGGGCUCAACCCCGGGUCGCACUGGAAACUGGACGGCUUGAGUGCAGAAGAGGAGAGUGGAAUUCCACGUGUAGCGGUGAAAUGCGUAGAGAUGUGGAGGAACACCAGUGGCGAAGGCGACUCUCUGGGCUGUAACUGACGCUGA
rnacentral:rRNA from 1 species